ensembl:lncRNA
AUGUUUGUUCCGCCCAUAGUCAUUAAAAAGGUUCCGACCCUGAAAGCAAACAUGUUUCGUUUGUGUCAAACGAUAUAUAUAUAUAUAUAUAUAUAUAUAUAUAUAUAUAUAUAUAUAUAUAUAUAUAUAUAUAUAUAUAUAUAUAUAUACAACAUCAACAGAACUCUAAGGGCCUUCAUUGCAAACUCGAUGAGGUUGUGGAGAACCACCCUUGAAGCCAAUGGGAAGCCACUUGCCCAAGUAUCCAUCAAACGUGGCAUAUACCAAGGAGAUGCACUGUCCCCACUGCUGUUCUGCAUAGGUCUGAACCCCCUCAGCCAAAUAAUAAACAAGACUGGCUAUGGAUACCGACUCCGGAACGGGGCCACUAUAAGUCACCUCCUCUACAUGGAUGACAUCAAGCUGUACGCCAAGAGUGAGCGAGACAUCGACUCGCUGAUCCACACCACCAGGAUCUACAGCUCGGACAUCGGGAUGUCAUUCGGACUCGAGAAAUGUGGGAGGAUGGUGACAAAGAGAGGCAAGGUAAUCCACACAGAAGGGGUCUCACUCCCAGAAGGAAGAAUAGCAGACAUUGAGGACAAUUACAAGUACCUUGGAAUACCACAGGCAAACGGCAACCUUGAACAGGCAACAAGGAAUGCGGCAACAGCCAAAUACCUCCAAAGAGUAAGGCAAGUCCUAAGAAGCCAGCUCAAUGGCAAGAACAAAUCCCGGGCAAUAAACAGCUACGCUCUGCCAGUGAUCAGAUACCCUGCGGGAAUAAUAAGGUGGCCAAAGGAAGAGAUACAGACCACAGAUGUUAAGACACGAAAGCUUCUCACCAUGCAUGGAGGGUUCCACCCCAAAUCCAGCACCCUGAGACUGUACGCUAGCCGCAAGGAAGGAGGCCGAGGACUAGUGAGCGUGAGAGCCACUAUCCAGGAUGAAACAUCCAAGAUCCAUAAGUACAUCAAGGAUAAGGCCCCGACAGAUGACGUGCUGAGUGAAUGUCUCAGACAGUGGAGAACGGAGGAUGAGAUGCUGGAAGAGGGACCAUCAUGGGAGGACAAGCCCUUACACGGGAUGUACCACCGGAACAUAACUGAAGUGGCUGAUCUCAACAAAUCCUACCAAUGGCUUGAAAGGGCUGGGCUGAAGGACAGCACAGAGGCACUCAUCCUGGCCGCACAGGAGCAGGCCCUGAGCACCAGAGCCAUAGAGGCCCAGAUCUACCACACCAGACAAGACCCAAGGUGUAGACUGUGCAAAGAGGCCCCAGAGACGGUCCAGCACAUAACUGCAGGGUGUAAGAUGCUGGCAGGCAAAGCAUACAUGGAACGCCAUAACCAAGUGGCUGGCAUAGUAUACAGGAACAUCUGCGCGGAGUAUGGACUGGAAACCCCAAGGUCAAAGUGGGAAACACCUCCCAAGGUGGUAGAGAAUGAGCGAGCCAAGAUCCUGUGGGACUUCCAGAUCCAGACUGACAGAAUGGUAAUGGCGAACCAACCAGACAUUGUGGUGGUGGAUAAAGAGCAGAGGAAAGCCGUAGUGGUGGAUGUGGCAAUACCAAGCGGUGGCAACAUCAGGAAAAAGGAACAUGAGAAACUAGAGAAAUACCAAGGGCUCAGAGAAGAACUGGAGAAGGCUUGGAAGGUGAAGGCCACAGUGGUGCCUGUGGUGAUCGGAGCACUAGGGGCUGUGACCCCCAAACUGGAGGAGUGGCUACGACAGAUCCCUGGAAAAACAUCCGAAAUCUCAGUCCAGAAAAGUGCAGUCCUAGGAACAGCAAGGAUACUGCGCAGAACCCUCAAGCUCCCUGGCCUCUGGUAG